AUUUGCAGAGUUCUCAUAUAAUCUGAAAAGAGAAAAUACAAGAAAACACAUGAUACAAAGAGGAGCUUUCAGCAUGACAGCCAAAAAAAGGGGAAUGUAUGCUUUCAGAGAGGAGAGAGGCAGAAACAGAGGAAGGAAAGACUAGUGAAGACUUCGGCAGAAAAUAUUUGGCAUCAUGAAAUCGAACAAAACAACUGGUUCCCAGCAAGAAAGCUUCAACUGGAAAUGCAGAACAUAUGGAAGAGCUGCCCACAUCUUUGUGGUUCUCUUAAGACUUGA
rnacentral:lncRNA from 1 species